rnacentral:rRNA from 1 species
GAUCAAGCGACUAAGUGCAUCUGGUGGAUGCCUUGGCGAUCAUAGGCGAUGAAGGACGUGUAAGCCUGCGAAAAGCGCGGGGGAGCUGGCAAUAGAGCAUUGAUCCCGCGAUGUCCGAAUGGGGAAACCCACCUCUUUUGAGGUAUCCCUGGCUGAAUCCAUAGGCCAGCGGAGGCGAACCCGGCGAACUGAAACAUCUAAGUAGCCGGAGGAAAAGAAAUCAACCGAGAUUCCGCAAGUAGUGGCGAGCGAACGCGGAAGAGCCUGUACGUGAUAGCAGUCGUGUUAGAAGAACGGU